rnacentral:lncRNA from 1 species
AUUUUUUGUAUUUUUAGUAGAGACAGGGUUUCACCGUGUUAGCCAGGAUGGUCUCGAUCUCCUGACCUUGCGAUCUGCCCGCCUCGGCCUCCCAAAUUGCUGGGAUUAUAGGUGUAAGCCACCACGCCUGGCUUUCUUUCUCUUUUUCUUCUCUUUCUGGUAUUUCCAAAAAGUCUCCAUGUUCCACCUUUUGUAAUUGUCUCACAGUUCUUGACUCUUGUUCUGUUUUUUCUUUUUCAUUCUUUUUUCUCAUUGUGUGUCAGCUUUUGAAGUAUCUAUUGACAUCUCUUUGAGCUCACUGAUUCUUUCAUUGGCCAUAUCCAUUCUUUUGAUGAACCCAUCAAAGGCAUUCUUCAUUUCUGUUAUGGUGUUUUUUAUUUCUAGUAUUUCAUUUUUAUUUCUUCUUAGUGUUUUUAUCUCUUUGCUUACAUUACCCAUCUGUUCUUGCAUGUUAUGCCAUUUUUACAUUAGAGCCCCUAGCAUGUUAAUCUUAGUUAUUUUAAAUUCCUGGUUGGAUACUUCCAAUAUUUCUUUCAUAUCUGAGUCUGGUUCUGAUGCUUGCUUUGUCUCUUCAAAGUGUGGGGUUUCUUGUCUUUUAGUAUGCUUUGUAAUUUUUUGUUUGAGGCUGUAUAUGAUGUACUGGGUGAAAGGAACUGAGUUAAAUAAGGCUUCAGUAUGAGAUUUUGUGUUUCUCUGGCUAGGAGUUAGGCUUUGUUUACUCUUUGCUAUAUAGUCAUGGAUGUCAGAGGCUAAAAUUUCCUCUAGUGUCCUUGUGUUGUCUCCCCUGUCUUCUCUGGGGAGCUCCCUAGAGGCUUCUUUGUAAAGUAGCUCUGAGUCUUGCAGUGUCUAUCCCUAAUCAUGGGAAAACAUCAAACAAACCCAUACAGCGGGACAUCUGACAAAGUACCAAGUGUCAAGGAUCAUGGAUUGAAUCCUGAAACAGAGGAAGGACACUGAAGGAAAGACUGGGAAAACCUGACUGAGGUCUGGAGUUUAGUUAGUGAUACUAUACCAAGACGAAUUUCUUAGUUUUGAUAAUUUGUUAACAGUUAUGUUAACAUUGGGGGUAGCUGUGCAAGGGGUGUGAGAAUGCUGUUAUAUCUUUAACCUUGGCCCAUGGUUAAGGUGUUUCCAGUGUAAGGUCACUGUUAUUCCUUGUAGUUAACAUAUAUUUGGCACCACAGGAUUCAUUCUGGAAUUCUCUUUGGCUUAUUUAUAACUUUUUUUCUUUUUCUAGUAGUGAGAAACCUGGCUUUCAUGCAGAGUUUACAAACGCCAAUUUAAACUUUUGUUUUGUCAUAUGCAAUGAUUUUAUUACCUGUCUUUAUUUCAGAGCUUAUGAAUUUUUAAUUAUUCUAAGGGCUAACAUAGAACUUUUUCAUGUUUUCUACUCUUCAAGAGUAGGUAAGACUUUAGUUUGUAAUACAUUACAAAAGGAAUCCUGUGGUUCUCUAAGAGCUAAUUUGUCUUGGCAAAAGGCCUUAGUGAGCUGUGAGUGGUGGCUCAUGCCUGUAAUCCCAGCACUUUGAUCUGAGACGGCUGGAUCACCUGAGGCCAGAAGUUUGAGACCAGUUUUGCCAGCAUGGCGAAACCCCAUCUCUGCUAAAAAUACAAAAAAUUAGCCAGGCAUAAUGCCAUGCACCUGUAGUCCCAGCUACUUGGGAGGCUGAGGCAGGAGAAUCGCUUGAACCUCGGAAGUGGAGGUUGCAGUGAGCCGAGAUCGUGCCACUGCACUCCAGCCUGGGAAAUAGUGAGACUGUCUCAAAACAAACAAAAAAACCAAAAAACAAAAAAAUUAGACGGGCGUGGUGGCAUGCACCUACAGUCCCAGCUACUCAGGAUGCUGAGGCAGGAGAAUCGCUUGAACCCAGGAGUUGGAGGUUGCACUGAGCAGAGAUCAUGCCGCUGCACUCUAGCCUGGGUGACACAGUGAGUAUCCAUCUCAAAACAACAACAACAACAACAAAAACAAAUUAAAAAACCCAACAACAACAAAACCAGCAAACAAGAAAACUAAACAGGCUUUAAGGAAAGAGCAAUCUAAUUAUCUGAUUAUAUGACUGGCACUAAGAUGGGAAUGACUCUGGCCUAAUUUCUUCAAUUUACAUUUUAAAAUAGGAGCUUAGUUAGCCCCCAAAUAAUAUGUAAUUGAUGUAUUAGCGUUGGGGAGUGAAUAUUUUUCAAAGCAGAAGAUAUUUCUCAAUUCUUGCUUACUUUUAGAGGUUGAAGUUCAAGGAAGCCCCUUCCUUGGCACUGUAUCCCAGGGAGGUAUUUGGAGUUAAUUUCAGGGCUUAGCAGUGACUCUUUAGAAAAGCAGUAUACGAUUGAAAUGUAAUGUGGUACAAAUGAGAUCACUACAAGUAAUUUAAAAAUGUGCUAGUAGUGUUUUUUUUUCUGAGACGGAGUCUUGCUCUGAAGCCCAGACUGGAGUGCAGUGGCACGAUCUCAGCUCACUGCAAGCUCCGCCUCCCGGGUUCACGCCAUUCUCCUGCCUCAGCCUCCCUAGUAGCUGGGACUACAGGCGCCUGCCAACACGCCUGGCUAAUUUUUUGUGUUUUUAGUAGAGACGGGGUUUCACCGUGUUAGCCAGGAAGGUCUCGGUCUCCUGACCUCGUGAUCCUCCCACCUCAGCCUCCCAAAGUGCUGGGAUUACAGGAGUGAGCCACCACACCCAGCCUCUAGUAGUACUUUUAUCAAAAGUAAAUGGAAACAUGAAAUUAAUUUUCACAAUACAUUUUAUUUAAACUAAUAUGUUCACAAUGUUAAAAUUUCAACAUGUAAUCACUAUAAAAACUACUAGUGAGAUAUUUCACAUUACUUUUUUCAUGUAAGCCUUUGAAAUCUGGUGGGUAUUUUAUAUUUACUGUACAUCCUGAUUUGGAAUAACCACAUUUCAAUAUUUCAAUAGCCACAUGUGGCUAGUGGCUACUGUGUUAGAGCAGUUCUAGAACAAAGGAGUCCCUUUAAAACUAUUUUGAAGUCAUCGUCUAUAAGGCAAUAUGAAAGCUGAUCUGAAUGAUUUCUCCUUUUCCAGGAAAGGAAACAAAAAUGAAAUCACGUUAGGGCUGCAUAUUUUAUGGAUCCCAGGAAAAAUACACAUAGUCUGAAAGAAUGAUCUCAGUCAGAAACUCAGAAUGAAUCAUAUGAAUUAAACAUUGGACAAUGUCCAAUGCUCAGCAUGUGUUUUUGGUUUAUACUAAGAGCAUAUUAUGCCACCAAAUACAGAUAUUUACUAUUAUACUUCGUGUAGGAGGUAUAUUGAGACAUUGUUCUAGACUACCACAGUUCCAUAUUUUGUGAAAAGUUAUAUUGCACUUUUUUUUUUUUUUGAGAGUGUGCCCAGGCUGGAGUGCAAUGGCAUGAUCUCAGCUCACUCCAGCCUCCACACCCCAGGUUCAAGGGAUUCUCCUGCCU